rnacentral:lncRNA from 12 species
CACUUCAUAGUACAUAUCCCCUCUCCAAAACCAUUGUCUCUCUUUCUAUGGGGAAACAGGGCAAUCUGUGUUCCAAAGGUUUCAGAGACAGACAGAAAGUGUUUGGGAAGGCAAACAGAGGCAACAUAGAGGAACUAUCUUUUAUUCAAGAUCUCACAGCAAGCCAAAAGCAUCACCAAAAAUAGCAGAACUUCUC